rnacentral:tRNA from 1 species
GUCUUUGUGGUGUAAUGGUCAGCACACUUGGCGCGUAUUCGAGAGGUCUGAGGUUCGAGUCCCGGCAAGGCCG